CCUACGGGAGGCAGCAGUGGGGAAUAUUGCGCAAUGGGCGAAAGCCUGACGCAGCGACGCCGCGUGAGGGAUGAAGGUCCUUGGAUCGUAAACCUCUGUCAGCAGGGAAGAACGGUCACUGUGCUAAUCAGCAGUGAAUUGACGGUACCUGCAAAGGAAGCACCGGCUAACUCCGUGCCAGCAGCCGCGGUAAUACGGAGGGGGCGAGCGUUAAUCGGAAUUACUGGGCGUAAAGCGGUCGUAGGCGGUAUGGCAAGUCAAGGGUGAAAUCCCCGCGCUCAACGUGGGAACUGCCUUUGAAACUGGGAGACUAGAGUAAGUGAGAGGAUAGUGGAAUUCCAGGUGUAGGAGUGAAAUGCGUAGAUAUCGGGAGGAACAUCAGUGGCGAAGGCGGCUAUCUGGAACAUAACUGACGCUGAGGAGCGAAGGCGUGGGUAGCAAAAGGGAUUAGAUACCCGUGUAGUC
rnacentral:rRNA from 1 species